GGGCGGUUGGGCCCGAUGGAGAAGGCGUUGGACUUCGGAUCCAAAGAUUGGGGGUUCAAGUCCCCCCGCGCGUG